GGCAGUUUAGCUUAAUGGUAAAGCACUUUGACCGGUAAUCACAGGGAUGUGAGUUCAAGUCUCAUGACUGGCCA
rfam:Octopus bimaculoides Scaffold76864_contig_39, whole genome shotgun sequence.